rnacentral:rRNA from 1 species
AUUGAACGCUGGCGGCACGCCUAACACAUGCAAGUCGAGCGAGCGGCGGAAGGGUGAGUUAUGUCUGGGGAUCUGCCCGAGAGAGGGGGAUAACCACUGGAAACGGUGGCUAAUCCCGCAUACCCUCGGGUUCACCCAUGUGGGCUUAGCUCGUGGGGGGGGUAAAGGCUUACCUAGGCGAAGAUCACUUUCUGGUCUGAGAGGAUGAUCAGCCACACUGGCACUGAGACACUGCCCAUACUCCUUCGGGAGGCAGCAGUGGGGAAUAGUGGACAGUGGACGCAGGCCUAAUUCAGCCAUGCCGCGUGUAUGAGGAAGGCCUAAGGGUUGUAAAGUACUUUCAGCGGGGGGGCGUUACGCGGAGAUGAAGCACCGGCUAACUCCGUGCCAGCAGCCGCGGUAAUAC